AUUGUAAUUUGUAGAGGAUGCUUUGAGGCAGCCGCCUGUCUAAGUUCCUUGGAACAGGACGUCAUAGAGGGUGAGAAUCCCGUAUGUGACAGGACGUGGCACCUUAUGUAAAGCUCCUUCGACGAGUCGAGUUGUUUGGGAAUGCAGCUCUAAAUGGGAGGUAAAUUUCUUCUAAAGCUAAAUACCGGCGAGAGACCGAUAGCGCACAAGUAGAGUGAUCGAAAGAUGAAAAGCACUUUGGAAAGAGAGUUAAAAAGCACGUGAAAUUGUUGAAAGGGAAGCGCUUGCAAUCAGACUUGUUCAAACCGUUCGGCCGGUCUUCUGACCGGUUUACUCGGUUUGGACAGGCCAGCAUCAGUUUUGGCGGCCGGAUAAAGGCCCUGGGAAUGUGGCUUCCACUUCGGUGGAAGUGUUAUAGCCCAGGGUGUAAUACGGCCAGCCGGGA
rnacentral:rRNA from 1 species